rnacentral:rRNA from 1 species
UUACGGUCAAAUCACGCUGAAAACACCGGUUCUCGUUCGAUCACCGAAGUUAAGCAUCGUAGAGCCAGGCCAGUACUUAGAUGGGGGACCGCUUGGGAACACCUGGUACUGUAAG